rnacentral:rRNA from 1 species
UUUGAUCAUGGCUCAGAACGAACGCUGGCGGCAGGCCUAACACAUGCAAGUCGUACGAGAAGGUUMCUUCGGGAACUGGAGAGUGGCGCACGGGUGAGUAACGCGUGGGGACCUACCUCUUAGUGGGGGAUAACGGUUGGAAACGACCGCUAAUACCGCAUACGCCUUCGGGGGAAAGAUUUAUCGCUAAGAGAUGGACCCGCGUUGGAUUAGAUAGUUGGUGAGGUAAUGGCUCACCAAGUCGGCGAUCCAUAGCUGGUUUGAGAGGAUGAUCAGCCACACUGGGACUGAGACACGGCCCAGACUCUACGGGAGGCAGCAGUGGGGAAUAUUGGACAAUGGGGGCAACCCUGAUCCAGCCAUGCCGCGUGAGUGAAGAAGGCUUCGGGUUGUAAAGCUCUUUCAGAUGCGAAGAUGAUGACGGUAACAUCAGAAGAAGCCCCGGCUAAUUUCGUGCCAGCAGCCGCGGUAAUACGAAAGGGGCAAGCGUUGUUCGGAUUUACUGGGCGUAAAGGGCACGCAGGCGGUCUUGCCAGUCAGGGGUGAAAGCCCGGGGCUCAACCCCGGAACUGCCUCUGAUACUGCAAGACUAGAGACUAGGAGAGGGUGGUGGAAUUCCCAGUGUAGAGGUGAAAUUC